rnacentral:rRNA from 1 species
GACGAACGCUGGCGGCGUGCCUAAUACAUGCAAGUCGAACGAGAGCGACCGGUGCUUGCACUGGUCAAUCUAGUGGCGAACGGGUGAGUAACACGUGGGUAACCUGCCCAUCAGAGGGGGAUAACAUCCGGAAACGGAUGCUAAAACCGCAUAGGUCUUCGAGCCGCAUGGCUUGAAGAGGAAAAGAGGCGCAAGCUUCUGCUGAUGGAUGGACCCGCGGUGCAUUAGCUAGUUGGUGAGGUAACGGCUCACCAAGGCCGUGAUGCAUAGCCGACCUGAGAGGGUGAUCGGCCACAAUUGGACUGAGACACGGCCCAAAAUCCUACGGGAGGCAGCAGGAGGGAAUCUUCCGCAAUGGGCGCAAGUCUGACCGAGCCACGCCGCGGGGGGGGAGAAGGUUUUUGGGUCGUAAAACCCUGGUGUUAGGGAAGAACCAAGGGCUGGGGAAACUGUAAGGGCCUGACGGUAUCUAAACAAAAAGGCACGGCUAACUUCGGG